AUUGAACGCUGGCGGCAUGCUUUACACAUGCAAGUCGAACGGUAACAGGCCUUCGGGCGCUGACGAGUGGCGAACGGGUGAGUAAUGCAUCGGAACGUGCCCAGUCGUGGGGGAUAACGCAGCGAAAGCUGUGCUAAUACCGCAUACGAUCUGCGGAUGAAAGCGGGGGACCUUCGGGCCUCGCGCGAUUGGAGCGGCCGAUGUCAGAUUAGGUAGUUGGUGGGGUAAAGGCUGACCAAGCCAAAGAUCUGAAGCCGGUCUGAGAGGAAGACCAGCCACACUGGGACAGAGGCACGGCACAGACUCCGACGGGAGGCAGCAGUGGGGAAUUUUGGACAAUGGGCGGAAGCCUGAUCCAGCAAUGCCGCGUGCAGGAAGAAGGCCUUCGGGUUGUAAACUGCUUUUGUACGGAGCGAAAAGGCUCCCUCUAAUACAGGGGGCUCAUGACGGUACCGUAAGAAUAAGCACCGGCUAACUACGUGCCAGCCGCCGCCGUAAGAC
rnacentral:rRNA from 1 species